GGUGGUGGUGGUGUGGGGUGGUGUUGGUUAAUAACUUUUCCAGCCUCAUCUCACUCACUAAAACCCACAACAUAUGCACAGGGCCGCAAGGCUCUGAUGUUUGCGCUUGUUUGUUUGACAGAUUUAUAUGUGAUUAAAAUAAUUGACAACUUUUAACAAUGGAUCUCUUGGCUCUUGCAACGAUGAAGAACGCAGUAAAGUGCGAUGUGUAGUGCGAUUUGCAUGAAUCUGUGAGUCAUCUAAUCUUUGAACGCAACUUGCGCCUCUUUGAGGCAUGUCUGUUUGAGUGCCGCAUACAUCAAUGCAGCAAUGCGAUUUGACUGUUGUCCCCGGACUCGGUCUAAACGUAGCCAGAUAGUGGCCUGUGUGGGCUAGCUUGAGUGCUAAGCAUUCUCUGGGCUAGCCUAGAUGGGUUAUCAAUCAUCAUCAUUUAUUUGGCCUCAAAUCAGGCAAGACUACCCGCUGAACUUAAGCAUAUCAAUAAGCGGAGG
rnacentral:rRNA from 1 species